rnacentral:rRNA from 1 species
AGCAGUAAGAGUUUGAUCAUGGCUCAGAAUCAACGCUGGCGGCGUGCCUCAGACAUGCAAGUCGAACGAUUAAAGCUCUCUUCGGAGAGUGUAUAGAGUGGCGCACGGGUGAGUAACACGUGGAUAACCUACCCAGUAGUGGGGAACAACCCGCCGAAAGGCGGGCUAAUACCGCAUAACACUCCCGGUGAGAUUCCGGGUCGUAAAAGCUUCGGCGCUACUGGACGGGUCUGCGGUCGAUUAGCUUGUUGGUGGGGUAACGGCUCACCAAGGCGACGAUCGAUAGCUGGUCUGAGAGGAUGGUCAGCCACACGGGGACUGAGACACGGCCCCGACUCCUACGGGAGGCAGCAGCUAAGAAUCUUGCGCAAUGGGCGAAAGCCUGACGCAGCAACGCCGCGUGGGGGAGGAAGGCCUUCGGGUUGUAAACCUCUUUUAUCGGGGAAUAAUGGGUGUGUAACUCACGCCAGAGAAGGUACCCGAGGAAUAAGCACCGGCAAACUACGUGCCAGCAGCCGCGGUAAUAC